rnacentral:lncRNA from 1 species
CUACAACAAUUCUACAUGGGGGUGCACCAGUGCAGGGGGAUUCUGCUCUCUGACCGGGUGGAUGCCCUAAUUGAUGGAGGAGCCUACCUGUGUUCUGUGUGGGGGGAUAACUGUUCUACCAGCUAAUGUUUGUGUCUGUGUGACUUUUUGUGUCCGUGUGAAAAUGGAACCAAUGGAGGCGGUUGGCGAUGCACCUCCCAUACGACUGUGGACAUGGGGUUCUGCUGUGACUUCUAAAACGUUGUCACCGAGAGAUUCACCUUGAUGGACAGACAAAUGGAUUUCAUUUACAGUCUACCUACCUCUCUCCGGGUCGCUGAGGCACUAUUCGGGUUGGUUUUCUGGCACUAUGGCCUUCUGGAGGACAUCGUUUCCGACCAUGGUCCACCAAUUCACGUCGCAGGUCUGGAAAGCCUUUAUGGAGAAGCUGGGGGCCACGGUCAGCCUCACAUCCGGGUACCGGCCUAACGGGCAUGUGGAGAGGCCCAACCAAGAGCUGGGGGGGUUCCUAAGGAGUCACUGGCAGGGGGAGUGGGCCCGGUUCCUUCCCUGCACGGAAUACGCACAGAACUCACUUCGUUACUCCACCGAGCUGACUCCCUUCCAGUGCGUCCUGGGAUAUCAGCCGGCACUGGCUCUGUGGACUCUGAGCCAGACCGAGGCCCCUGCAGUUGACGAGUGGUGCAGAGGUGUGGAACACCACCAAUGUGAGGCUCCGGCGCGCCAUCCACUGUCAGAAGGAUUGGGCGAUCCGCCACUACAGUGAGGCGCCUGUGUUCCAUCCUGGUGAUCGCAUCUGACUCUACACCAGGAACCUCCCACUCCGCCUGCCCUGCCGGAAGCUGAGCCCCCAGUUUGUGGGGCCCUUCAAG